UUUGCCUGGUACCUAAAUUAAGAAGUUGGCUCCUGGAGUGGAUUGACGACAACUACAACUUCUUGAACGAGGAAGACAGGAUUGUGUAACCGAAGAAUUUCACACUCUUAAGGGACCUUCCUUUCAUUGUUACUCACUUGGGGACUAUCUUAAAUGAGUAAUAAUCUCACCCAUUCAUGGUGGAAUUCUUAAAAUUAGACUCUGAUUCAGGUUUAACAACCUUUUUCAAACAUCUGAUGGAUUUACGGGAGCUGAACUAAAAUAUACAGGAAGCUUUGGUGUAGUCAUUAAGAACGAUAGUACCGUGUUUCCCUGAAAAUAAGACCUAAGACCUAACCAGAAAAUAAGCCCUAGCGUGAUUUUUCAGGAUGACACCCCCUGAACAUAAGUCCUAACGUGUCUUUUGGAGCAAACCUUAAUAUAAGACCUGGUCUUAUUUUGGGGGGAACACGGUAAUGUCUAACAUUUUAAGGGUUGGCUAGGAUUUAGGAUGAUGCAAAUAAUAUAUAAAUUAAUAAAGUACCUAAAAAAAUAAAUAAGGAAAUUACUCAAAAGCAAAGGAAGGAUACUUAGAAAAGGAUUUAAAAGCUAUACAGAAAAUGCAGGUCCACAAAGUACUGGCUAUUUUAAGUGCCAGUUUAAUUUUUAGACGAAGUGGGCCUGCUGUGGUUUCCAGAUUGAUACGAUCUUAAAGAGAAUAUGUAAUACCCAGUGUUGGGAAGCUCUUACCCGUUGCUUCCCCCCUCUUCCUUUUAGGCCCUUGAACUCCCUAAAUUAGGACUGUGUGUUUCAAACCUGUUUUUAUUAUUGGGGUUACAUUAAGAAUGCUGUGGCCAAGACAUGUUUAUUUUCAUAAUUUCUGUUACUUAAAUACUUCAACAAAUAUUUGAGCACUUACUAUGUACAGGUACCACAGUGAACAGAACAACAGUCGUUGCCUUCAUGGAGUUUACCUUGUCCUAUUAUCUAAGUAAGAAAAGAACUGACAUUCCAGGAGUGCCCCGCUGGUGACACUGCCAAAGCAGACACUCGAAGCCCUCGGAAGUGAUUCCUUUUAUAGAGCAGAGACUCCUUCAUGUAACAGAUGUUAGAGAUAGUCUCUCCUCGCUGACGUUGGUGGCAUUUGGUACAUGUGAAUUGCGUACUUAUUUGGGGGCUAUUCCCCUCUCAGAAUCAGGGCAUAGAUCUGGUAAAUUCUACAUCCUCUGCCUUUUAGAAUGGCACUUAGGGUUAGAGUGAAAUCUGGGAUUGAUUUUUGGAGGAUUUCAACUGCCAGCUAUAAGGUGAACGAUUACGCCUUCAGGGUAUUGUGGCAUCUGUCUGCACAUGACCUGUUACGUAAAGGUUGAAGCGUCCAGAGAAACACAGCACUGGGAUUUGCUUGAGUGUACCAAACAUUGUAUGAACUGUUUUCAUGCUGCUUCUUAAUUUGUCUAGUAAAUGUUUGUAGCUAAAUUUGGUGUGAUUUGCAUUUGUUCUAACAGAUUACUUGUUACUGAGGCUGUGCCAGUAUUAACAGUUCUCAUAUAGCUUAAUGUUAGGUCACACACACAGAUUUACAAGCUGUGCUACCUUUCUGAGCCUAAAAUCAGCCAACGACCACAACCAUCGAACAUUCUGAGAAUUUCUAGUACAGGGAAGAUGGAGGAAUCUUAGUGUUAGAUAGAGCAUGGCUGUAAAUGGCGCACAGAGAUGGUGGCCGUGUGAGGGUGGACUCUUUCCUGUAUAUGAUGAAUGAGAGAUUGUGCCUCACCCUGAACUGCCAUCUCAAGUACUGUGACUGCUUAAGUACCCACAGUAAAGACCUUUAAGAAGGGAAUAAAGGGGAUACCAAGCAAAGCUGAUAAACUUGUCAAGACAAAAACAGACAUCAAAAGAAUAACAGCAAUGUGAUUUUAAUCUGGUAGCACUGGAGUCUCUUUCUUGAUGGCACCAUGCAUCGACAACUGUACCCAUGUGUGCCUGGAAAGCAUCAGUUGAAGAGCUGGACGUGUAGUUCGAAGCAGAAUUGUCACCGGUGUGAAGAAGUAAACCUGCUCUCUCAGAAUUUUCUUUAUCGAGCCACUCAGAAAAUUUGGAUUCACUCGAUUUUUCCAGUUUCUGUUCAUCUGACUGGUGACUAUGCUCACUUGCUGUAUGGUCCUUGAGGACUUGUGGACCGGACAAAGGGAAUGACUUUCCAUUGGUUUCACGUACAUGAGGCCUGAAAUAUAGAAACAAAAACAAAGCUAAAACACCACAUGCAAACACUGACAACUGGAGGAAAAACAAACACUGGUCCUGUAAUUUAACCUCCCAAUAUACAGUUUGUUAUUUUUGUAACAUAACAACAGAAAGGGGAAAAUAUUUGCAACCAUUAACAUUUUAUACUCUCUGAAUCCAAAAUCUUUAUGCCAGAAUACAUGAAUGCUUACCAGAAACAUCUGUCAUUACUAAAAUUAAAUUUCUAAUAAUUAGAAGUGUAAUUUAAAAAAAACAACAACUUACAAACAGAACUGAAAUUGCAUUUAUUUGUGACAAAAUGUAGCAUAAGGAAAAUGCUAUAAGCAAACACUUAAUUCCCUAAAACACUCCCCAACCAACAUAAAGUUGGUUGUAGUAGAGGUUGUUUAAUUUUGAUACAUAAUGCUAUACGAAUAGUAUAUUGAUUUAAAAUAAUUUAAUUAAAGACUACCUUUAUUUAGGUAUUAAUUACCUCUAUUUAGGUAAUAAUUAACUUCUAGGUGAGGAUAAAUGCCAUCACGUUGCAAAUUAUCGUCAUCGGAUUAUUUUUACUGUGUGAACUGCACGGGAGUCAAUGAGAGCAGAAUGAUGACAAGAGUUGAGGCUUCUCUGGGUAGACGAGAGCUACAUUCAGCUCCAUUGCUUUGGGCAAAUGACAAUCUAGGCUCCAAAUUUUCUCCUUUGUAAAUACCACCUACCUCCUCAUGCUGUGAGGAUUGGGACAACUGUGUUAUACCUGGGACUCUGCAGGCCCGGAUCCUUAGGACUACAUCCUUGAACAGUCCCCAAUAAGACAUGCAUCAUGAUUCUGUGGACACUGCUUUCAGAGUAGUUAGUAAGCAUGCCUUUCUGAUAAAGUGUUCCUAUAACACAUGCAUUCAAUAAAAAAGAUUUUAAUAUUUCCAUAUAUCUGAUUACCUUUUUAUCAAAUGAUUUUUUAUUGGCAGCUGUGAUUCUGGAUGGAAGUCACGAAAUGUACAGCCUACUUCCAAGUUUCCGAGGUCUUUUCUAAGGCCUGACGAGGGACAAAAGCAAAACUAUGUAAAUGAGCUUAGUAAUUGACUCCAUUUGUAGUUCUCGUCAUUUACAUAAAGCUUUCUGUAGACAGGUAAUUCUCUUCCAAUUAACAAACAAAAACUAACUCUUCAAGACUCAGCUCAAAUAAAUACCUCUUUUUUGAACCCUUUAUAUAAAAUGAAUGUUUUUUCCCUCAAUUUAUUACACUUGAAAGUAUCAUCAGUGCUAGAGUAGUGCUGUUCCCCUGGACUGUGUGGAGCUGUGAGUCCCCUUCACAGGAGACGCACUGCUGACAAAAGGGCGGGGAAAUCCUGCUUUGAGGACUGACGCCUUGGGUGGAAGUCUGGAUUCACUACUGCUUGGCUGGUACCUUGAAGCCUCUUCACCCCUUGCAAUCUCAGCUUCCAAGUGUCUGUGAUGAGAUAAUGAUAUCUAUUUGACCUACCGCCCAGGAAUAUUAGGAGCACACCCGAAUUAAAAUGGUGGGUAUUACGAUAACAUGUAAAAUGGUAUACCAUCACGAACUCGCUACCAUUUGUUGACUCAAGUUGUAAAAAGUUGGUAAUAGUUGUUCCAUCUUUAACAUUGAACACCAUUUCUAUUGAGAAGAUGACAAACUUUGUCACUUCAAACGACAACAACAACUGAUAGUAUUUAUUGCUAAUGAGGAAAUUCAAACUUUUAGGUGAGAAUUUUGGAAAACUAGUAUGCACGAAUUUUGUAGCUUCCCAAUAAUUAUAGACUUUCUGCUAAUAUCUAUGGUGAUAUUAACAGGUGUGGUUUUAAAGAAGACAUUACAUAAGAAAUAUACCAACAUUUGGAAGACUUGCAUAAUUUAUCAAACCAGUAUUUCCCAAAUCAGGAUACAUGGAUGUUACAAAAUUAUGCUUGCAUAAAAUAAAUUAUUCUUUCAAUGAAUAAAUAAAGUUUUCAGAUGUAAUGCCUAAUACAGUCACUUAAUAGAUACAACUAUAGAAACAAAAGCUUUUUGAGGUCCCCGAUAUUGUUUAAUAGUAUAAUGGUAUCGUGAGGUCAAAAAGUAUGAAAACCACUGUUCUAGUUGAUUUAAAAUAGUUGCCUUUUUAAAAGCUCAGUCACCGCUUUUCUGUGAGAUAGCAGCACCCUUUUUAUACCCAAGGAAGUUAAGUGACCUAGCCACGCUAACUAGCCGGUAGGUGGCAGCACUCACAGGAGCCGAGGGUUAACUCCAAACCCAGUGCUCUCCCCACCACCAGAGAGCGCUCUUGUGCACAGGCCACAGGCCACAGAAAUACAAGGUCACCAUACAGAAUCUGAUGAAACUAGGCCAUUGGUUUGAACAUCAAAUGACAUGAUACACUUUAAUGUGCUGGUACCCACAGAAGAUAACAAAAUAUGUGGCAGUAGCUUGACUUGUCAAUCAAUUGCCUCUACUUCUGUACAAUUCUACUAAGGUUUUCUGUAGUCUCAUUUUUAGAUGAACUUUUCAUCAUUUAUUUAGUUUCUUCUCAUUCUCAUGCUUCUGUUUUGUGCACCAAAUCUAUGAAUUGAAGUCUGGAAAGUAAAUGAAAUCAAAGGUAUUAAAGCAGAAACUAUUUUGUAAACAAUAACAGUGAAUUCUAUCUUAGAUGACCUUUUUGUCCCUAAAUCGAUACUCUCGGUUUUUUUAAAAAAUACUACCCUGUCUCUCAAAAUUCAGUUGGAUUCUAUAAUGGAUCAAAACAUCUCAAUAUUACCCUAUGGAAAAAAAAAUCUAUUAUUUGAUUUUGAUCAGGCUCUGCAAGUUAAGUCUUGACACAAUUUCCAAGAAAGAACUAUGAAAUAUACAUGAGGAUUUAAUGCCCUAUCUGGAUGCUCACACAGUAAACCACACCUCCCAGGAGCUGAAACUUCAGAUAGGCCAAUGCUGGGAACUGCAAGUCCGGCGUUCAUUUGUUUAAGAUUGAACUCUUACUUCCACUCCAUUGCAGUACGCUCCUUACAGCACUAAGGUGUGUCCCCUGCCUGUUACUGGCUGCUCAGUGGCUAGCACAGUGUCUAGCACA